rnacentral:rRNA from 1 species
AUUUAACGCUGGCGGCAGGCCUAACACAUGCAAGUCGCGCGAGCGGCGGACGGGUGAGUAAUGUAUGGGGACUGCCCGAUAGAGGGGGAUAACUACUGGAAACGGUGGCUAAUACCGCAUACUAUCGGAUAACCCAUAUGGGAUUAGCGAGUAGGUGGGGUAAAGGCUCACCUAGGCGACGCUCUAUAGCUGGUCUGAGAGGAUGAUCAGCCAAGCGGGGACGGGGACACGGCCCAGACGCCUACGGAGGCAGCAGUGGGGAAUAUUGCACAGUGGGCGCAAGCCUGAUGCAGCCAUGCCGAGUGUAUGAAGAAUGCCUUAGGGUUGUAAAGUACUUUCAGCGGGGAGGCGUUACCCGCAGAAGAAGCACCGGCUAACUCCGUGCCAGCAGCCGCGGUAAUUC